CCGUGUGCCACAACUACUGACCCUGCACUCUGGAGCCCGCGAGCCACAACUCCUGAGCCCGUGUGCCACAACUACUGACCCUGCACUCUAGAGCCCGCGAGCCACAACUACUGAAGCCCCCGUGCCUAGAGCCCGUGCUCUGCAACAAGAGAAGCCACUGCAAUGAGAAGCCCGUGCACCACAACAAAGAGUAGCCCCUACUCGCCACAACUAGAGAAAGCCCGCGCGCAGCAACAAAGACCCAACACAGCCAAAAAUAAUAAAAAUAAAUAAAUAAAAUAAAGGAAACUUAGAUUUUAAAAUAAUAAUAAAAUAAAAAUGGACAAGGAAAGCAGAACGAGUGGCUCAGAGAGAAGUAAGAAUGGGAGAAGGGGCAGGAGAGAUUUGAAGCAGGAGAGAUACUCUGCCCACCAUUGCUGGCGUCGAAGAUGGAGGAGCGGAACCAUGACCCAAACAAUGCAGACAGCUUCCAGAAGCUGGGAAGGACCCUCAGCUGACAGCCAUCAAGGAAAUGGGGACCUGAAAGGAACUAAAUUCUACCAACAGCCUGAGAUAGUGAGGAAAUGGAUUCUCCCCUAGAGCUCCCAGGACGGACACAGCCGACCCCGUGAUUUUAGUCCAGUGAGAUCUGAACCCGGCUUCCAACAAACAGAACUGUAAGGUAACAAGUUUGUGUAUUUUAAACUGCUAAGUUUGUGCUAAUGUGUUACAAAAGAAGUAGAAACUGUAGAUUAUGGAUGUUUCAAUACGAUGAGCAAAAAAUGGGUGAUUUGCUCAAAGACAUCUGCAUAAUUGGCAAUCUGUCUAACAGAGCCAAACUCCUACAUCAUAACAUAAAGAAAAUUAAUUUUACAUGAAUUAUAGAGCUAAGUGUAAAAAUAAAGGCAUGAGAAAAUAUAGACAAUAAAGUGUCCAAAAAUAUAGGAAAAUAUUUUACCCAAAGAGUAAAAGAGGCUUUCUUAAGGAAAACAGAAACCUAGAAAUUAUAAAGGAAAAUACUUAAGGAUUUAGCAACCCAAAAAAGUGAAAUUUCCGAAUGACAAAAGAUACUUCAAGAAAGUUCAGAGAAAAUAUGAUUGAAAGGAAAUACGUGCAACAUUUAAGUCAGGUGGAAUGCCAGCAAGUCAGGACAAACCAAUAAAAAAGUCUUAUGCUCAACCCCAAGCACUAGAAAUAAAUGCAAAAUAAGAUGGUCACCUUCUCUCAGAGAAAUGCAAAAUAAUGAAAAAUAAUAUUCUAUCCAUCAUGUUGAGUAAAAGGUAAAAAAUUCUGAUACUGGCAAGGAAGGGGGGGGAGGGACCACCACUUUCACGCAUUUACUGAUGGAAGUAUAAAUUGCUACAGCCUUUUAGGAAAACAACCUGGUGGUAUCUUUAAAAUUUUAAAUAUGUAUACCUUACAUGUAGGUAUCUAUCCUCUAGAAAUAAAUGUAUCUGAAUUCUAAGGAUAUACAUACAGGGAUGUUUUCUGCUUUGGAAGACCUGAAAAUAACCAUCCAUAACACAUAAAUAUUAAUAAAUUGUGAAACUUCCUUAUUGUGAAGAAUUAAGUAGUUUUUACAAAUGAGACGUACCUACCUGUGUGUCCUGUAGAGACCUAUAAUAUUCCAUAAUGUCCAAGAUAAUAAAAGUGGAGGUGGGGGGAAGGGUUGGAGGAAGGGAAACACAUAGAACAAUGUAUUACAGUUUAAUCCCAUUCUUUUACCUUUUUCGGAGGUGUAGGGGAGGAAGACUUUUUCUUCUCUUCUGGGUUCUUUAGCUGGUUGGAUCGUUAAACUGACACAAGGCAGAUUAACAGGAGAAAAACAGAUUUCAUUUCAUAUACAUGGGAACUCAUACAAAAAUACGAGUCUCAAAUAUGAAAACCAUUGUUCUAUGUGUCAUCGUCCCAGAUCACAAAGUCGUUUGGGAAGGAUUAUGGUUUUUCCAUUGUUCUUUUGCUUCAGAAGCUAAGGAUCCUUCCCUCCCGCCAUCUGAUUGACACAGAGGGAGACUUGGAGUCCUCGGCUGCACACCUGGACCCUCACUCCAGCUGUGCUCCGGGACUCAAAUCCAGGCCCUUUUACACCAGACCUACUCAACAAUCAAACCACGUGGUUAGUGUUCAUGACCCUUCCUGCCUUGAGUCCCAAGACAUCAGAGGACAACUCCUAACAGAUCCACUGAUGACCAAUGACUUUUGCAAAGCUCUGCCUCUGUCUUUCAGUCUCCAAAGAGAGCCUCUUCAGGUUGGUGAUUAAUCAGACCUGAAGUUGUUUUAUAGAGAUGGCACUGUGCAUGUGCAAGAUGGGAACCCAUGUCUCCAGGAUGAGCCCAGAACCAAAUAUCUUCAGUCUAUGGAACUCAAAGAAUAGAAAUGUUGCCACCAGAGGGCUUUAAGAAGGGAGAGGUCCUAAAAUAAGGAAAAUCUGGCUUCCAGCAGCCUAAGCACCUUGAUUAUCAUAUAUGUACUGAUUUGAGGCUAUCCAAUCAACUUCUGCCAAGUUUGAAAUUCCCCUAACCCCCUAACCCGGGAUCAAGGAGACAGAUUUGAGCCCUGCCUUCUAUCUGCUUGCCGGUCAACCUCACAAUAAAGUUCUUUCUUUUUCAAAAGCCAGUGCCACGGAAUUGACUUCUAUGCAUGUCUGGCAGCAAGCCCUUGCUUGGUAACACUGU